CAGAUGACAUUCAGUUUUCUAAUUCAGUUUUAAUAAGGCAAUCCUUUUCUGAGAUUUAUUUGCUUAAGAUAAUGAGGCUACACAACAUAUUGCAAACCAGAAGACAAAAAGGCAGCUGAGAUGAUACUAAUUCUUCGGAUGAAUUAAGACACCUAUGUCUUUGAGGUGUUGUGAAAUGAGCAGAGAUGAAUUUUAUUUGAAGUAACCUGAAAGGAGAAGGAAAGUCAUCCGACUAGAACCCAGGUCUGGAGCUCAAGA